UGUCCCCUAGUGAUACUAGGCGACAAAUCUUUGAAGAAGUAUCGGAGACGCCGUUGCAAAGACAAAGGCAAGAACAUCAUCAUCAUCAUCAUCAGGAUCUACAUGUAAACAAUCAGGCCGCGUGUGACACCCUCAGCCCCACGCUGGCCAGGCGCGGCGCCCCACACACCAGAACACUUCCUGCCACGGCUACACUCCCCCACACCAGCCGCAAGGCAGCCCCAGCCAGGCUCCACACCCUCAGGUCAGCCUGUGACACCCUCAGGGGAAUGCUCACGUUUUUGGGAUUGCUUCAAAGCUUGACGAGACACCUCUCCCAGGCUCCCUCCUUCACGCUGGACCACCCCUGGAGGAGGACUCCCUGGAGCCUGCCAAGGAGUACAGGGAUGCUGACAUCAAUGAGCAUCGUCAUGUCAGCUGUGAAGGUGUUGCUGUAGGGAGGUUUUCAAGUCUUCACAGGCCUUCACAAGUCCUCCAGGGAAUGAAGGUACCUGGUUUUUAGCUUACUAAUUGGGUCAUCUGAAGCACGGGGUCGCUGCCAGCCGGGCCAGGCGCCGCGGGACAAUGUGGCGCUGGAAUACUCCAGUAACAAUGGGCAGACGUGGGCAGCACUGCAGCGCUUGGAGCCUCAGCACACUACUCGCAGAAAGGAGCCGUUCUUCGUCCCGCUCCCACCCGCAGCCCGCACCAGGCACACUCGCUUCCGCUGGUGGCAGGCGCCUGGGGACAUGCUCUUAGCAGACGAACCUUUUCCUGGUGAGUUCCCUAGGAUCAGGCCACCGGAUUUAAUGACAUGGUAAAGAGAAACAUUUCAUGUGAUUGGCAGCUACACUCCUCACCAGUAUCAAGUGAAAAGGUUAAUAAGUGCACAAAGAAAAUUAGAGAAUAAGAAUGGAAGCAAACAUCAUGGAUUAGGUGAAAAAAAUGGUUUCUAUAAGUUACUAAUGAUAACUGAGUAGAAUGUGGACUUGGCAGGUCAUAUCAUGCAUAUCGUCAGCUUUCUCGAGGUUAGGUGUUCUGAAUCGUCUCUGCCAGUUCUUCUCCCCCGCACAGAUGCUGUCCAUUUACAAGGACCUUGUCUGCCCUCGUAUGGGGUAUAUGUCUCAUGGGUGAGGGAGCUCCACACACACAACCCUACUAGACAGAGUGGAGUCUAAGGCUCUUCGUCUCAUCAACUCCCCAACUCUUACUGACAGUCUCUUAUCUUUUAAAUUCCGCCGCAGUGUUGCAUCUCUUUCUUAAUA